rnacentral:rRNA from 1 species
UACGUAGGGUGCAAGCGUUUGUCCGGAAUUAUUGGGCGUAAAGAGCUCGUAGGCGGUUUGUCGCGUCUGCUGUGAAAACCCGAGGCUCAACCUCGGGCCUGCAGUGGGUACGGGCAGACUAGAGUGCGGUAGGGGAGAUUGGAAUUCCUGGUGUAGCGGUGAAAUGCGCAGAUAUCGGGAGGAACACCGGUGGCGAAGGCGGUUCUCUGGGCCUUACCUGACGCUGAGGAGCGAAAGCGUGGGGAGCGAACAGG